UGGGGAAUAUUGGACAAUGGGCGCAAGCCUGAUCCAGCCAUGCCGCGUGAGUGAUGAAGGCCCUAGGGUUGUAAAGCUCUUUCACCGGUGAAGAUAAUGACGGUAACCGGAGAAGAAGCCCCGGCUAACUUCGUGCCAGCAGCCGCGGUAAUACGAAGGGGGCUAGCGUUGUUCGGAUUUACUGGGCGUAAAGGGUACGUAGGCGGAUAAGCAAGUUAGAAGUGAAAUCCUAUAGCUCAACUAUAGUAAGCUUUUAAAACUGCUCAUCUUGAGGUAUGGAAGGGAAAGUGGAAUUCCUAGUGUAGCGGUGAAAUGCGCAGAUAUUAGGAGGAAUACCGGUGGCGAAGGCGACUUUCUGGCCAUAUACUGACGCUGAGGUACGAAAGCGUGGGUAGCAAACAGG
rnacentral:rRNA from 1 species